UGAUUUGGAUAUUUCUACACCGUUAAACUUGCAAACGGCUCACUACGGCCAUUGAAAUUUGUUGAUUUUGAGCCCAUUCGAUCACUAGGCAAAUGAUAUCAAAAAAUAAUAAAAUUUAUUUUCUAAGUACUCCAAAUACUCUAGAUCAAGUUUAACGGAGCCGAUCGACGAUUCGAAAGUCACAACAUCGAAAACGAGCUGGAAGCACGGAAGGCUCCGUGCUUCCGAUAGCAUAGUAGCCUCACUCUAUAUAUAUAUCGUUAGAUCUACUCCUCGGAUUAUUUUCAACUAUUAGAUUAUACUAUUCAACCAACCACCCACUCAACCCUAGAAGACCCAUAUCAUCCUAAUCGCAUAUUUCUUAAUCUAAUGGCUAAAAAUCUAUAAGCACCAAUAACUUGAUACUUUUAAAAGCAUAGAAGCUCAAUUAUAUAUAUAUAUAUAUAUAUAUAUUCUCGCCACCCACUGUAUUCCUUUUCACUAUCGUACCUCUUCUCCCGCCCUCUACAGCAGCAGCCUAUCCCCGCCACAACACACUCUCUCUCUUCGCCAUCCUCAAAUUUUGUGACAUCCUCGUCGUUGUCGCAAUUCACGACCACAUCCUCCAUCACAGCUUCACCUCCGCAAUCUGUGCUAUAUCUGAGUUUGCGUCGCCACCGCUAGUGUUGGCGAAGGUAUGGGUUUGAUACGAGAGAGGAGUGCGGCGUCGAUGUUGUGGCAGUGGAGGAGGAGAAGGGAGAGGAAGCAUGAGGAAAAAAAGAGGCAAGGACAACGAGAAUAAAUGAGACAAAAAAAGAGCAGAAAAAUAAACGAGAGAUAAAUGGAGAGAAAGAAAAAUAAAAAUAAUUUAGUCUGUUUACUGAAAAUGCAGACUUAAUUUAUAAAAUUAGAAAAAAUAAUUUAUUUUUGAAAAAAUUCAAAACUAGUAAAAUUUUUGUGCAUAAAGGUCUAAAAUAUCUGACCAUCAAAGUUAUAAGAUUUAUCAUAAAUGAUUCCUUAAUCCUAUUUGAGAAGUGAAUGAAUUAUUUUANAUAUAUAUAUAUAUAUAUAUAUAUAGUCUGGCUACUAUACUCUUAUGAGUACAAUCAUUCUCGUAUUCAUAUUUUAUAAUUUUUCGAUAUCAUUACCUUACGAUCAAAAGGUCAAAAAAUUGACAAUUUUUAACGGCCGGUAUGGAAUAUUUGCUAGUUUAACGGUAUAAAAGAAUCGAAAUCAGUUGAAUUUUUGAUAAAAAAUUCUAUUCACUACAUAGAUAAAAGAUCAAUAACUCUGAUCUUAAAUUAAAGGAUCCGAUCAUUCAUUUUUAAGACGUCGUUCGAUUUUGACGAUUCAUUUUAUAUCCGUUUGAUGAAUUUUUUAAUAAUUUUGAAAAAUUACGAAAUUUAUUUUCUAGAAGUUUCAAAUACUCUAGAUCAUAUUUAACGGAAUGGAUCGUCGAUUCGGAAGCUCCAUCAUUGAAAACAACUUAUGAGUACGAAGAGCUCUAUACUCAUAAGACUAUAAUAGCCCAAGCAUAUAUAUAUAUAUACCGUUAGAUCUACUCCUCGGAUUAUUUUCAACUAUUAGAUUAUACUAUUCAACCAACCAUCCACUCAACCCUAGGAGACCCAUAUUAUCCUAACCGCAUAUUUUUUAAUCUAAUGGCUAAAAAUCUAUAAGCACCAAUAACUUGAUACUUUUAAAAGCAUAGAAGCUCAAUUAUAUAUAUAUAUAUUCUCGCCACCCACUGUAUUCCUUUUCACUAUCGUACCUCUUCUCCCGCCCUCUACAGCAACAGCCUAUCCUCACCACAACACACUCUCUCUCUUCGCCGUCCUCAAAUUUUGUGACAUCCUCGUCGUUGUCGCCAUUCACGACCACAUCCUCCAUCACAGCUUCACCUCCGCAAUCUAUGCUAUAUCUGAGUUUGCGUCGCCACCGCUAGUGUUGGCGAAGGUAUGGGUUUGAUACGAGAGAGGAGUGCGGCGUCGAUGUUGUGGCGGUGGAGGAGGAGAAGGGAGAGGAAGCAUGAGGAAAAAAAGAGGCAAGGACAACGAGAAUAAAUGAAACAAAAAGAGAGCAGAAAAAUAAACGAGAGAUAAAUGGAGAGAAAGAAAAAUAAAAAUAAUUUAGUAUGUUUACUGAAAAUGCAGACUUAAUUUAUAAAAUUAGAAAAAAUAAUUUAUUU
rnacentral:lncRNA from 1 species